CCCUUAGAUGUUCUGGGCCGCACGCGCGCUACACUGAUGCAUUCAACGAGUUUCUUCCUGGUCCGAGAGGAAUGGGUAACCUUUUGAAAGUGCAUCGUGAUAGGGAUAGACUAUUGCAAUUAUUGGUCUUCAACGAGGAAUUCCUAGUAGACGUAGUUCAUCAGACUGCAUCGAUUACGUCCCUGCCCUUUGUACACACCGCCCGUCGCUCCUACCGAUUGAAUGCUCAGGUGAGCCAUUCGGACCUUCAUCAUGCCGGUUUCCGGUUUUGAUGAGGGAAAGCCUUGCGAACCUUAUCAUUUAGAGGAAGGAGAAGUCGUAACA
rnacentral:rRNA from 1 species